GUUCAACAUAGAAUCAGCACUGGUUUUCACAUGAAAGAAUUUUUUGUUUUUCACCUUGAGAAGUAAAAUGACGGAGACUAAGUCCGGCAUCCAAACUUCACUGUCCAGUGAGAAUUUUCACACUGAAUGGAAGUGAUUUUGGAAGAGCAUGGAAUACUCACAACUGUAGUGAAGAAGUGCUGAUUUUGUCACUUUUACCUGUUCCCUUUCCUGAGAUGGAACAAAACAGUGCAAUCCAAAGGUCAACAAGAACAAAUCUCAGGUUUCAUAUGAAAAUGUUUAUUCCUUCUCCUUGAGAUAAGACAUGAAGGAAAGGCCCAUCCUCAAGGACCAGUGGGAAUUCUUAGAUUGGUGGAAGCAGUGGGAUUUGAAGCAAACUUCUGACAACAUCCAGGGUCAACAAGAAACACAGGUGUGGCACCCAUGAAACCUUUCGAGUUCACUCUUUUUUGUCAUUUCCAGGGGCCAUUGAGGGAAGGGACAUUUUACUGCUUGGAAUUCUCACUGCCAUUCUGAAGAAGUGCUGUUUUUGUCACUUGCACCAGCUCCUUUCUCUGAAAAAGAUCAAAACAAUGCACUCCAGAGGCUGACAUGGACCAAAAAGUGGGUUUCAUAUGAAAGAGUUUAUUCCUUCCCUUUGAGAUGUGAAGGAAAGUAUUGGGAAUAAUUCUACCUUCCAUCCUCAAGGGCCUGUGUAAAUUCUCACAAAGGUACAGAUAGAGCCUAGAAGGAAAGGGAAACUAUGCCUUUCCCUUUACUCUUGAAUGUCAGCUCCAGAGAAUGAGCUGAAAACUUCCUUCUUAGUCAGUGAUUCUCCAUUCCUACUGGUGAUCUUUUGGACACUCUUGCAGAAGAUGACUACUUGGGAAUUCUUUGGGGAGUGAAUGAUACCAGUAAAUCCCUGAAACAAGACUUUUCAGACAAAGAGCCUUUUCACUUACCUGUUGUUCAAGGGCCACCCUCUAAAGUCUUCUUGCAGGUGAUGACCUCAAAGGCGAGGUGGAUUUGUUACUGUGGAAGCCAUUACUUCUAUCACCAGCUUCACCAAGAACAAUGACACAGUCCUCCUUAUGCAUGGAGACUCCUCUCUUUCCUGUGUUGCAGUGGACACCUCCUGCAGAUAAGAAAUGCUUAACUGAGAAAUGCUCAUAUUGGGAUAUCAUCGAUGAGACUUUAAUUUGGGCAUGGUGACUGUUUCCCUUGCUGCCACUUGACUCAAUCCCAGGAGCCUCAGUAGAGGAAAUAUUAUUGCACAAGAAACUCAAAAUGGUGGAAUUGCUCAGUGCUCCCAUAAAUAGACAUUUAUAAUUUUCAUUUGCCAUGUGGUGAAUUUUAAAAAUAGGAUAUAUUAAAAAGAAGCUGCAUGAAUUUUUUCAAAAAUUCAAAGCAUUUCUAAAUAUCUAAUACAGAAAUUAAGUGCCCUCCUCUCUCCCAAUUCUAACCCCCAGAGUUUUUCUUUAUUAAGGGAGUUGUGUGCAUUCUUUAAGUGGAUAAAUGCACACAUGCAAGCUAUUUCUGGAGGGUUCUGGAAGUGGGGCCAUACUGUACACAUUCUUCUGCAAAUUGCCUUUCAUUUAAUAGUUUUUUAAAUGCCCUUUUUCUAUUUCAGUAAUAUACAUUUGUGUCAUUUGUUGAAUGACUGCAUGACUGUUUUGUAGAUGAAAUAUAAUUAAAUGUUUUGAUUAUUUCUCAGCCAUAGAUAUUUAUGUUAGCACCAAAUUUCUGCACAGUGAACCUCCCUAUUUAUUAAUAGUUUUGCAUUUGUCUAUUAUAUCAUGAUAAAUUACUUAGCAGUUGAAAUACUGGGAUUAAGAAUGUGCACAUUUCAAAUUUUGAAAAUUAUUGCAAGAUUUCCUUAAAAAUGUGGUGACAACUUAUCCUAAAAUGGCAAUGAAUAAGAUUGCCAGCUUUCCCACAACCUCACAGAUAAUGGAUUUUAUAAAUAUUUAAAAUCUUUGCCAGUGUGAUAGCCCAAACUAUUGUCUUAAAUUGUAUUUCUUUUGUUUUUGAGUUUGAUCAUUUUUUCAUAUGUUAUUAGCCAUCUGUAUUUUUUAAUUUCCUCUUUAUGUCUGAUUUUGGGAGUCGGGGGAGGUUUUAGUCUCUUCCUGAUUUUGAAGAGCUCAUUGAUUAUUGGGGGAAUAAGCUUUGGAUUGUCAAGCAUUACAGAUAUUUUUUACACACUUUUAAACUUCAUUUUUGAUAUAAGAAUGUAUAUAAUUAUUAUGUGUCUAAGUAUAACCGUGUUCGCUUCUAUGGCUUCUGAAUUUCAUGUCAUUUUGGAAAGGUAUUUAAACUGAUUCCAUAAAACCCUUCAUAUAUGUUAACUUCUAAUUCUUUUGUGUUUUUUUAAUUCAAAUUCUGAAAUCAUAAGAAAUUUUUUUAUUUGAAAUCUUAAAGUUGCCAAGUUAUUUGCCAUUACUUGCGAUUAUUUGCCAAUAAUCGCCCAUUUAUCUGUAAUGCCAUCUUGCACAUAUGCUGUAUUCUCAUCUGUGACUGGCUCCAUUUUUGUUCUGUGGAUCUUUGCGUCUCUUCUUCUGCCUCUUGUCUCAUGUGUCUUCUUGUUGGAAGAAAUUACAGUUUAGACUGCAAUUUCAUCAACUUUAAUAAAUUAAUUUAGGGGAGAAUUGGUUUUUAAUAAUAUAAGUCUUCCUGUUCAAGGACAAGGUAUGUCUUUUUUUUUAUUCAAUAAUUUUAAUUACUGUUAAUAUUUUCACUUUGUGAUGGGGGUGUUUUCUUUCUGUUUAUUUUCUUGAUAAUUUUUCUGUAUCUGAAAGUUUUGUUUUUUUUUUUUUGGUAAGUGGUCAGCUUACACUUUCUCAUGGCUUCAGAUUUUUUCAAAGUACAUACUAAAUCCUUUGCAAAUACUAGUAGUUUUUAUUCUCUCCUUCAAAAUGAUCUAGAUUUCAGUUAUGUUGAUAAAGUUCACUGACUGGUACUUUCAGAGCACUUAAACAAUUGUGGAAAUGUCCAACCUUGAUUUAAUCAGAUUUUAAUGGAAUGCUUCUUGGUUUUGACUAGCACAUUAUUGUUGGCCUUUUACCCAAAAAGACUUGCAGAAAGAGCUAUGAUCAAGCAAAGCUGAGUUUAUUAAACCUACUGCAGUAAGGAAAAACACCACUUUGACAAGAUUUAGUAGUGUUUCAAAAGCAGAAAGUUAGGACUUUGGGGUUUGGGCUAAUGUGGUUUAAGGCAGGCUUUUCAAGGCACAGAACUGGUUAGGAAUGGGCAGAAUCUGUCAUGUAAUAGUUUAGGUUUGUGAAAGAGUAAGGACCUUGAUAUGAGUCUAGAUAACCAAAUUUGUGUCUGAUAAAUGAGCUGUUUGCCCAUGUGAGUUAGAUGUUAUCAAUGAGCUAUUUGCUUUGAUGAGCAAGCUGAAUCUACUUAUUGGUUUAUAGUUCAUUCUUGUUUAUAGGACACUGCUGGGGGUUGCAUGAGGUCUUAGUGCCAAUAGGUAAGUUAUUUUGAUGUGGGUAGUCUCAAUUGUCAAUUUAAUAUGCUAAUUUUAAACUUAAGAUAUGUUUUGUAUCAUGUUAGGAAAGUCUUCCACCUUUUAUAUAUUUCUGAAUAAUUUUAAAAUGAGGUGGUAGAUGUAAUCAAAUACUUUUUGCAUAAACAAUUAUAUUAUUCUUUAAUUAAACAUAUCAUUGUGAAAUAAUUCAUUUUCUGUUAAUGAAAUUUCCUUGUAUUGCUUGAAUGAACAAACCCUAUUUGGUAAAUAGAUGUUUUACUCUUUAAAUUUACUACUGAAUUAUAAGUAUCUUAACUUGAUUUGGAAUUUUUGCAAAUAUACUAUUGAAUGAAAUUGAUUUGCAAUUCUUUUUUGUUCUAUUUUUGUCAUGUUUUGAUAUCAGGUUUUCUGGUUGUGUUAAAAUAAUUUUGAGGAUUUUCUUCUUACUCUGUGUUCCAGAAUGGGUUGAAAAGCUCUAGCAUCAAUAUUAACAGUUAAGCAAACACAUCAAUGAAAUUAUCUGAACUCUUUUGUUUUUGAUGGCUUGGAGUAGAACUGAGGCUAACUAGAAAAUUCUCUCACUUUUUU